GGUUGGUAGUGUCUGCGGAAUAAUGCAGAAAAAUUAGAAAACAAAAUGAAAUUUGCGCAAAAUUAAGAAAAAGCAUAACAACAAACACAACGUUGCGUGUUCGUGUGUGUUAGUGUAUCAAGAGCAGCUAAAUCGAAAAAAAUUUCAACCCAAAAUAAAUCAAAUUUACAACGAAAAUUGGAGCGCCCAGGCCGUGGCGUCGUCGACAAGGCUACAACAACAUUUACCAACCACAACAACAGCAACAACAACAAACAAGUUGCAUUAUUUUACCAUUUGCCGCAAUUGCUGCUGUUGUUGUUGUUGUUAUUGCUACUGUUACUGUUUCUGGCUACAACUACAGCUGCGAUUGUGUUUGUGUGAUCCACAUAAUCUGGCCUUCCUAUCUCAUAGUGUGGCAAACACAAUUGGCAGAAAUUGGAGCACUCUUAUCUUAUCUAG